UGCAGCGUGCAGGAAGAAGGCUUCGCGGUUGUAAUCUGCUUUUGUCAGGAAAGAAAUCUUCUGGGUUAAUACCUCGGGAGGAUGACGGUACCUGAAGAAUAAGCACCGGCUAACUACGUGCCAGCAGCCGCGGUAAUACGUAGGGUGCGAGCGUUAAUCGGAAUUACUGGGCGUAAAGCGUGCGCAGGCGGCUUUGCAAGACAGAGGUGAAAUCCCCGGGCUCAACCUGGGAACUGCCUUUGUGACUGCAAGGCUAGAGUACGGCACGAGGGGGAUGGAAUUCCGCGUGUAGCAGUGAAAUGCGUAGAUAUGCGGAGGAACACCAAUGGCGAAGCGCAAUCCCCUGGGCCUGUACUGACGCUCAUGCACGACAGCGUGGGGAGCAAACAGGAUCAGAUACCCUGGUAGUCCACGCCCUAAACGACUGUCAACUGGUUGUUGGACGGCUUGCUGUACAGUAACGAAGCUAACGCGUGAAGUUGACCGCCUGGGGAGUACGGCCGCAACGUCGAAACUCAACGGAAUUGACGGGGACCCGCACAAGCGGUGGAUGAUGUGGUCCAAUUCGAUGCAACGCGAACACACUUAGCUACCCUUGACAUGUCACGAAUCUCGCAGAGAUGUGCGAGUGCUCGACCGAGAGGCUUG
rnacentral:rRNA from 1 species